GACGGGGGAUGCAAGCGUUAUCCGGAAUCACUGGGCGUAAAGCGUCUGUAGGUGGUGAUGCAAGUCACUGGUGCAAAACUCUGGCUCAACCGGAGGAAAGCCAGUGAAACUGCAUGACUAGAGUGUGGGAGAGGUAGAAGGAAUUCCCUGAGUAGCGGUGAAAUGCGUAGAUACAGGGAAGAACACCGGAGGCGAAAGCGUUCUACUGGAACACAACUGACGCUGCGGGUCGGAAGCUUGGGGGGCGACUGGU
rnacentral:rRNA from 1 species